UACGUAGGGGGCAAGCGUUGUCCGGAAUCAUUGGGCGUAAAGAGCGUGUAGGCGGCCAGAUAAGUCCGAUGUGAAAUCUCGAGGCUCAACUUCGAGCUGUCGGUGGAAACUGUCUGGCUAGAGUCCGGAAGAGGAGAAUGGAAUUCCUGGUGUAGCGGUGAAAUGCGCAGAUAUCAGGAAGAACACCCGUGGCGAAGGCGGUUCUCUGGGACGGUACUGACGCUGAGACGCGAAAGCGUGGGGAGCGAACAGG
rnacentral:rRNA from 1 species